UUCAAUAGAUGGCAACACUGUUGUUAAACUACUGUAACUAGAACUGCUAAAAGAGAAAGAUGAUUAAAACGUAAUGGAAUGUAAUUGAACCUUUUUUAUAUUGCUCGAGUGUGUUAUAAUGCAUUUUUAAAGCAUUAUUAGUUUUCUGUCACAUGACAUAAUGGAUAUAUCAAUAGGAAUAAAUGAUAAACGCGCGAUAAAAGUGGCAGUACAACCUCUUAAUUCUACGGAGUCACCAUUUUCAAAAUCGUUAAAAGGAAAAAAUUUAACUGGAACUCUUCGUCAUUUACGAGAUUUAGCAGCUGAUGUUCAUGGGAUUGUUCAGCAGUGGAAUGAUAAUACUCUUGAAGGAAUUAAUAUUUUAAAAUCUAUAAUACAAGAAAAGUCCAAUAAAAAUUAUACCGUUCGAUUACAAGAUUACUGUGACAGCUUAGAGGAAAUUUGUCGUACCUUGAGUAAUCUAGUAAAGACUUUGGAACAAAUAGCACAUCAGAUAAAUGUUCUAAUAACAUUGGAUAAAACUGCAAUAAAGUUAUUUACAACUUGGCCGAUAUCAGCGUUUGGACGUACAGUGGAAGUAAUAUAUACUACAUAUAAUAACGAAAUGCAAAUAAAAUACAAAGUUCUUGAAAAUAUUGCUCAUUGUCACACAGAGCCACAAAAGAUGUUAUAUCUUUCUGCAUGGUUACAUCAACCUUUGUUACCUAAAAACGUAACAAUAUUAUUAGAAGCAAUGCUCACAGAAACUGGACAUAGAUAACUAUAAAUAAUAUAUACAAAACUAAUAAAUACAUAGAGAAUUAUUUUACGCAGUAAUAGGAAAAGAGGAUAAAAUCUCCUUUGCUUGAAAAUGUCCACAUUGUCUUCUAUAAUUUUUUAAUGUAAUUUAUUAAAAAUUGCUUAUCAUAUUAUCAUUAUUAUAUUUAGAUAUUUAUAUAUUUUUAAUUGAAAAAUAAAACUAUUAUUUGUGAUGAAAGAAUUAUUGGUGAAAUAUAUAACUUCCUCAUUAGAUAUAUACAAUUUAGUUAAAUGCAUUAGAAAAUUACAUGUAUUUAACAAUAGGUAUGAUCAUUUUAUAACUGCAAAAAUUUAUGAUAAAGAAUAAUAUGAAAAGAUAAUAUUAAGAUUAAUGCAAAAAGAUCAAACAACACAAAAAUAUUAAAAUAAUUAAUAUUAUAUUAAAAUAAAAAUUAAAUUUUAACACAAGUCCAAUUAUAUAUGAAAAUCUUAUUGCUUGGACGAAAAUGAAAUGUUCAUCUUAAUCAAUUUAUUCUCCCGUUCUUUUUUCUUUUCGUUGAAGAAAUUUUUCUUCAUUAAUAUUGCUAAAAUAGUAGUUGAACUAUUAUUGACAAAAUUCAAAGCUAUUAGACAGUCAUAAAUUUUAAAACUUUUGUCUAAUAGCAACAUUUUGUAUACAUUUUACAAUCCAAAAGAUAACUUUUGGAUGUGUAUUUUUUUAAUGUACAAGAAAAUAUUUUUUUCUUUUUUUUCUUUUUUCCUUUUUUCUUCUUUUUUUUUUUUAUAUAACUAUGUAUAUCUAAGUAUUAUAUUUAUAUAUACAUUAAACUGAAUGAUAUUGUACAUUUUUACAAUUGCCUAUAGCAAAAGAAACAUACGAAUGAUCUAAAAAAAUGUUAUGUUCUAUUUUGAACUAAUGCAAAUUCAUACAUAAAGUUUAUAGAAAAGAAACGUGUAGCAAUCAUCAAAAAUACAUUCGUUUCAUAUACAAAUUCAAAUAAUUGUACUGUAUCUCUAAUAUUACUAUACACUGUACAAAUAACUUUAUUUAGUAUAAUACCAUCAUUCACGCGAUGGUCUAAAAAUCAACUUCUAGCAUUUCUAUUAAAUUCUUCGCUCAGUGCUUCAAAAUCAAGAUCUGUAUCUAAAUUUGUAUUAUUUGGUAUGAUAUUACCUUCUAAAAUAUUAUCAGGCAUAAUAUUUUUUAAUCGUUCCGAUACUAACUCAUCGACCAAGUUUGUUUGAUCUACCAAGUGUAAUUGUUCAACUAACUUUUCGUCAAUUAAAAGAUUUUUGUCUAUCACACUACUACUAUUUAAAAUAUCUAAAUGCGUAAUAUGAUCGUAUUGAGCUACUUUUGACAUAUCCAAAUUUUCUGUACUAUCAAAUAUAUUAGUAUCACAAUUAUUAGAAAUAAUUGGUACUGUAUCUUGUAACACGGAUAUACUGUCUGAAGCUUUACAAAUUGAAGCUGCAGGUAAUAUUUUACAUGGACUUGUAUCUAAUGUAGAACUUUGGACUUUACCACAAUUUAAAUUUGAGGUACUCAUAGGUACUAUUUUAGAAACCAAUUUUUGAAAACCUUUAGCGAAGCUCUGAGAGCCAUCUUCUAUAUUAUUCAAGUCACUUUGAAUUUUAUCCAAACUUUGAAUACUUUGCUUUUCGUAUGACCCCAAAGUGCCAUUUUCAAGCUUCACCAAAUCUUGCUCCACAGGUCCUAAUUUUAUAAAGGCUUUAUCUAUAUGUUCCAAUUUCGAUUGAUCGUAAUUACUUUCUACUUUGGCAAAAAUUUCACAAUUACUGGAUGGUCCUAAAUUAUCGGUUAAUUUAGUAAAAUUAUCUUUAUGAGAUUCUGAAGUUUGGAAUUUUGGAACUUUGGUUGUAUUAAUAUCGAUUUUUUGAAAUCCUGGAUUCUCCGAAAUUUGAUUUUGAAUUUCAGGACUUGAAAUUAAAAGUUUAGAAACAUUAUUAGCCUUAUUGCUAUCAACAUUAUUGAUAGAAGUAGGAUUUCUUCUCAUUAAUGUUAAGGCCGACAAUACUUCUGGACACGUCGGGUUUGAUGCCGAAUCAGUUCUCCUUUCACUAAGAAAAUCUGAUAUACUAAGAUCUGAACUCUCUGAAAAUCCACUAGACAUCCUUUCUUCAUUGUUUUCUUUAGAUUCUUCAGAAUUUCCUGUUUUUCGUAACUUUACUGGUGGUUCCUCGUUUAUGUAAAUGUUCGAAGUUUCUUCGUCGUAACUCUUUAAUGCGUCAUUAUUGAUUUUAUAUAAUCCAGGAUUAACACCCAAGGCAUCACAAAGCAAUUCUUCGUUAAUAUCUAUUAAAUCUUUGUCCGAUCCUUUAUCAGUAUUUGCUAAAGAUAACAUUUCGCCAACUUUCUCUCUUAUUUUAUCCAUCAAUUGUUUUACCUCUUGUAAAAAAUUUCUAACAUUGUUUUCAGAUUUUAAAACUAGUAACUCAUAUAGAGAUUGUGCAUUAAGUACCGGCUUUGCGGCUAUUUUUAUUAUUUCAGUAUCUUCACAUACCGAAAUUGCUUCUCUUAGCUUAACUUUACGCCGUUCUGAUUUAGCUUCAGGUGUAACAUAAGCCCAUGGCCCUCUUUUUUUCCCCUUACGUUUUAAGGGAUCUUGAUUAACAUUUUGUUUAAGUUCAGGAUCAGGUGUAGGUGGUGGUAGUUGUUCGGGACUACCAUGAUCAGGAUGCAUUUCAAAAUGCCUUGCCAUGCGUGUUCUUCCCAGAUAUAUUUUGUUACAUGUAGGACAUCUGAAAUGAUCUGAUAUUUUUCUCUUUGGUACUUCCAAUCCUGUUAAAAGUUCCUUAGGUGACUCUUCAUCUUCAAUUUUGUCAUUGUUUGUAUUAUAGUCACUGUAGCCGCCAUCCGAAUCAUCCAAAUCUGGUUGUAAAAAAUCUGAAUGGUGUAAAUGUUUGUAAUCUCGUACCAUAUGUCUCGGUGGUCUUGAAAGUCUACCAGAACGUGUUCUGGCUAUAACUUUUUUUCUGUCAUCCUGUAAUGAGUUCGAACAAAGAAAAGGAACCGCUGCUGUUUUCGAUGGGAUCAGAGAGGGCCUAAUAGUAUUCUUUUUUGGUCGUCCUCGUUUACCACCACGAUUUUUUAUUAAGGUUCCAGGAUUUUUCAAUCUUAAAUCUAAUUCUUCUGGAAACACUACCCUGUAUAAAAAUGCACAAGUUUUAAUUAAUUUGUAAAAAUAUUUAAAUAGUUUUUUUUCUCGCUGCUCACUACUACUUAUCCUUAUUGAUAUAACCGACCUAUAGACGAUUCUCUCAUUAGAUAUACUUGUUUCUUGGCUGCGCUGUUGCAAUACGUGAGCGAUUUGUUUCAACUGAGUUGGUGAAAGCCGUUGUAUGCUAAAAUAAGAUGUAAAAAUAGAGAAAUAUAGAUAUUUUCUAAACGAA